rnacentral:rRNA from 1 species
GCAGUAGCCGCGGUAAUACAGAGGGUGCGAGCGUUAAUCGGAUUUACUGGGCGUAAAGCGUGCGUAGGCGGCUAAUUGAGUCGGAUGUGAAAUCCCCGAGCUUAACUUGGGAAUUGCAUUCGAUACUGGUUAGCUAGAGUGUGGGAGAGGAUGGUAGAAUUCCAGGUGUAGCGGUGAAAUGCGUAGAGAUCUGGAGGAAUACCGAUGGCGAAGGCAGCCAUCUGGCCUAAUACUGACGCUGAGGUACGAAAGCAUGGGGAGCAAACAGGAUUAGAUACCCCCGUAGUCCCUGUCUCUUAUAA